rnacentral:tRNA from 1 species
GCCCGCGUAGCUCAAUUGGCAGAGCAUCCGCCUUGUAAGCGGAAGGUUGCCCGUUCGACUCGGGCCGCGGGCU